rnacentral:lncRNA from 1 species
UGAUAAAGGAUGGCCAAUCUGUCAAGUUUUGGUUCGAUAAUUGGUCUGGCUUAGGGCCUUUGAAAGAGCCGCUAUUAAGGUGUGAAGAGCUCUUGUCAUUCAAACAAGUUUGUGAUAGAUGGGAGGCUCAAAUGUCUCUUAGCAUCUCCUUAAGGUUACCUUAGUUUUUGAUUGAUACAUUCUUGAGUACACCCAUCCCUAAUAUCCCUAAUAAGUCAG